AGCGGGUUGAGGGCAAAACAAAAAACAACAAAAAAAAACAGACAGAUUGUGCGCCAACACACGUAGGCUGACUGCGUGAGUUUUCGCUUGCUGCCUCCGUUUCUGCGCAAACUCUGCGCACACACGUCCUCCCGCCGCCCCCCCCCCCCCCCCACUCGCCCCAAGUUUCACUUUUACGAAGGCUGAGCCAUCGAAUUCUAGUCUAGUAUAAAUUAUUCGGGCAAACAGCACGCUCAGUCGGCCGUGUCGUCCGAACCGAGCACGGAUCACUUAGCGCCAGACCCACGGGGUCCCGUUUCCUCUGUCUGGGCGUGGGACCAGGCUAUUUUUAGGGAGAACACAUCAAGGCACAUUGCUACUAGACCUCAUAAAUGCCACAGACGGAUCACAGAGAGGCUGCAGUUGGAUCUGAUUACCAGCGCCCGUGUUUUCCCCUCUUCUUUCUGUGUCAGCGGUACCAAGUUGCGGACGAGGCACUGAUGCCCGGCUCAGACCGGGGCCACACCGGCUGCAGAUGGUGGUGGAGGCGGUGGCAGAGCUGUGGCCUGAGCUGCUACUAAAAUCCAUCUGGACUGUUCAGAAGAAAACCAGCAUAGUGGUGAUCAGUGACUCUGCUGCUCCAGUCAAACGAGAGCAAACGACGACGAUGACUCACGGCCACAACGCCACUAAUUCCACAUCAGGAGUUUCCACUGUAUUUUGAUCAGCGCUGGGGAAAUCUACAGGUCUGCUGAACUGUCCCAUUGUCAGACGGGAGCAUUGUUCGUUUCUGGGGAACUGUACAGAACUUUCUGUUGAGCAAAAGCUGUGUUAUAAUCACUGGUCAGAGCAAACUCUUACAGGUGUUGACACUUUGAUUCUGUUACACUCACCGUUUCAUACCGGUUUGUUUUAGGUAUCUGAACGCCCUUUUAUUUAAUGCUCAGAGUUAUCUACAGUUAGAGUUCUUCUAUUUCAUAAUCGGAAAAUACUGAUGGUCAAUCUUUAAUUUUUUUCCAUAUGGAUCUUUUUACUAGAUAAAAAUGUUCUUUUUCUAAUGACAAAGCAGAUGUGGAGAAGUAGGAGAGAAACUAAACAGAAAUUAAACCCAACAGCAAAAAACAGCGA